rnacentral:rRNA from 1 species
AUUGAACGCUGGCGGAAUGCUUUACACAUGCCAGUCGAACGGCAGCACGGGGGCAGCCCUGGUGGCGAGUGGCGAACGGGUGAGUAAUACAUCGGAACGUGCCCGGUCGUGGGGAAUAAGGUGCGAAAGUUACGCAAAUUACGCCAACGCAUCGUAGGAGCAAGGGGGGGAACCUCGGGACCUGCGGGCAUGGCGCGGGCGAUGUCAGAUUAGGUAGUUGGUGGGGUAAAGGCCUACCAAGCCGACGAUCUGUAGCUGGUCUGAGAGGACGACCAGCCACACUGGAACUGAGACACGGCCCAGACUCCUACGGGAGGCAGCAGUGGGGAAUUUUGGACAAUGGGCGCAAGCCUGAUCCAGCCAUUCCGCGUGCAGGACGAAGGCCUUCGGGUUGUAAACUGCUUUUGUACGGAAAGAAAAGGCUCUGGCUAAUACCUGGGGCUCAUGACGGUACCGUAAGAAUAAGCACCGGCUAACUACGUG